rnacentral:lncRNA from 1 species
GAGCUUUCUUCUUGGACACCUAAUACCCACAGUCCUCCAAGUGGCGUCGGACCCCUGUCAGAGAGUAAAUCUCAAGUAAGGUACCUGCCAUCGGCAGAUUUGAGCUUUCUUCUUGGACACCUAAUACCCACAGUCCUCCAGGCUCCGGUAGACUGCAAAUGACCUGCUUUCUUUCUGUUCCCGGGCUGCGUUUGGACCCCUGUCGGAUAGUAAAUCCCAAGUAAGGCUCCGGUAGACUGCAAAUGACCUGCUUUCUUUCUGUUCCCGGGCUGCGUUUGGACCCCUGUCGGACAGUAAAUCCCAAGUAAGGUACCUGCCCUCGGCAGAUUUGAGCUUUCUUCUUGGACACCUAAUACCCACAGUCCUCCAGGAAUGGAACAGAUAAGAAGAUACUGAAAUUGGACGGUGCUGCCGUGCGGCUGCCGCAGGACACCUUUAAUAUCCCUGUUUCUCAGGCUGUAGAUGAAGGGGUUCAGCAUGGAGGUGAUCACCGUGUACAUCACUGAGGCCACUGCAGCCUUUCUCGGGGAAGAUGACACAUCUGAACUGAGGUACCCUCCAAAGCCUGUUCCGUAAAAUCAGCAAACAACUGACAGGAUAACUUCAGGAAGUGGGUAUUAAUUCUCACGGUAUAAGUGAAGACAUUAAGCACCAGAGUUUAAGUAGCUUGAUCCACUGAAAGAGAUUCAACUGUGUGGAACCUAUGCCGUGGAGAAUUGCUUUCUGCCAUUGUUAUCGUCCAGCAGUUGCCGAAUAGCUCUGACCUGAGCAAAGCAGUGAAACGCGGUGCUGUUGAGUGGGUUGCCACUGCACCUUUUUCAACUACUCUAGUCUUGUGGAGAAAAUACCCCUUCUAAAUUUUUUCUUCAUUGAAUACUCUCCCUCAGCUCCAGAGUACCAUAUAGAGUUUUCUUGUAUUUUAGAGUUACUGUUUUAUCAAAGUUUACCAGUCUUUUGUAUUACAUUUCUCCUGUCUAAAUCGACUGUGUGGUUUCUACUCAUUAUGGAUAUAGAUUGAUACAAACUCAAUAAAUAUUUUUGAAUGAAUAA